rnacentral:tRNA from 1 species
GGGAAGGUGGCUCAAUGGUAGAGUGCUUGCCUUGUAUGCAUAAGGCCCUGGGUUCGAUUCCUCAGCGCCA